UGAAAAGUUCAAAGUUUUAGAGGAAGC
rnacentral:piRNA from 1 species